rnacentral:rRNA from 2 species
ACCGGAUAGUUUUUUCCUCCGCAUGGAGGAAAAAGGAAAGGCGGCUUCGGCUGCCACUUACAGAUGGGCCCGCGGCGCAUUAGCUAGUUGGCGGGGUAACGGCCCACCAAGGCAACGAUGCGUAGCCGACCUGAGAGGGUGAUCGGCCACAUUGGGACUGAGACACGGCCCAAACUCCUACGGGAGGCAGCAGUAGGGAAUCUUCCGCAAUGGACGAAAGUCUGACGGAGCAACGCCGCGUGAGUGAAGAAGGCCUUCGGGUCGUAAAACUCUGUUGCCGGGGAAGAACAAGUGCCGUUCGAACAGGGCGGCGCCUUGACGGUACCCGGCCAGAAAGCCACGGCUAACUACGUGCCAGCAGCCGCGGUAAUACGUAGGUGGCAAGCGUUGUCCGGAAUUAUUGGGCGUAAAGCGCGCGCAGGCGGCUUCUUAAGUCUGAUGUGAAAUCUUGCGGCUCAACCGCAAGCGGUCAUUGGAAACUGGGAGGCUUGAGUGCAGAAGAGGAGAGUGGAAUUCCACGUGUAGCGGUGAAAUGCGUAGAGAUGUGGAGGAACACCAGUGGCGAAGGCGGCUCUCUGGUCUGUAACUGACGCUGAGGCGCGAAAGCGUGGGGAGCAAACAGGAUUAGAUACCCUGGUAGUCCACGCCGUAAACGAUGAGUGCUAAGUGUUAGAGGGUUUCCGCCCUUUAGUGCUGCAGCUAACGCAUUAAGCACUCCGCCUGGGGAGUACGGCCGCAAGGCUGAAACUCAAAGGAAUUGACGGGGGCCCGCACAAGCGGUGGAGCAUGUGGUUUAAUUCGAAGCAACGCGAAGAACCUUACCAGGUCUUGACAUCCUCUGACCUCCCUGGAGACAGGGCCUUCCCCUUCGGGGGACAGAGUGACAGGUGGUGCAUGGUUGUCGUCAGCUCGUGUCGUGAGAUGUUGGGUUAAGUCCCGCAACGAGCGCAACCCUUGACCUUAGUUGCCAGCAUUCAGUUGGGCACUCUAAGGUGACUGCCGGUGACAAACCGGAGGAAGGUGGGGAUGACGUCAAAUCAUCAUGCCCCUUAUGACCUGGGCUACACACGUGCUACAAUGGAUGGUACAAAGGGCUGCGAGACCGCGAGGUUAAGCCAAUCCCAGAAAACCAUUCCCAGUUCGGAUUGCAGGCUGCAACCCGCCUGCAUGAAGCCGGAAUCGCUAGUAAUCGCGGAUCAGCAUGCCGCGGUGAAUAC